rnacentral:lncRNA from 1 species
AUGCUCAGAAGCAGAGCCUUGCCGGGAGAGAAGCCUGGGUUUUCCAGGCAUCUGCAUUCUCUUCUCCUGGGACUCCUUUGCUUUGCAGCCGACCCUCAUAUUUUACCAUUUCCCCCUCUCCUUUCCUCCCUCCUCUUCCUCCCUACACAGCUCAGAAACAGUUUCAGCAUGCAAGCCCUCUCCAUCAACUCCUCCUGGGGCCAUGAGACAAUCUGUGCCUGUGCCUUAGGCCUCAGAUCCCCAAACUUUUGAGUCGGAUGAGAGAACGGAAGAGUAAGGACAAAGACAACACCAACAUCCCAGUUUAAGGUGAAAAUUCACGGGCUUCUGAUGCAGCCCUGAAAGGAUUCGGGCAAACUUAGUUAAGAUCACAGUCUGGGUGGGUAGUUGGAUUUGCUAAACUACGACGAACAGGAAGGAAAGCGAGCCUUAGGAAAAAAACAAACACAAGGGAGCAAGAAUUCCAGGCUGCAGCAGCAGCAGACCAGCUUUGGAGGGAAGGCCCAGCUUAAAAGGCGCGCACCUUUCCGAACACUUCUGACUCCCUACUGCCCCUCUGUGGAGAAACACUCUGUGGAAAAUAUUGUCUCCAGGGACCUAUUGUGGAGGAACAUUCUAGGCCAUACUCUGCCUGCUUUUGGAUUAGCUUCCACUUCUCCCCGUAGCUAAGUAGC